rnacentral:rRNA from 1 species
CCUACGGGUGGCAGCAGUAGGGAAUCUUUCACAAUGGGCGAAAGCCUGAUGGAGCAACGCCGCGUGCAGGAUGAAGGCCUUCGGGUUGUAAACUGCUUUUAUAAGCGAGAAAUAUGAUGGUAACUUAUGAAUAAGGAUCGGCUAACUACGUCCCAGCAGCCGCGGUCAUACGUAGGAUCCGAGCAUUAUCCGGAGUGACUGUGUGUAAAGAGUUGCGUAGGUGGCAUAAUAAGUAGCUAGUGAAAUCUGGUGGCUCAACCAUUCAUACUAUUAGCUAAACUGUUAAGCUCGAGACCGUUAGGGGUAACUGGAAUUUCUAGUGUAGGAGUGAAAUCCGUAGAUAUUAGAAGGAACACCAAUAGCGUAGGCAGGUUGCUGGGACGGUUCUGACACUAAGGCACGAAAGCGUAGGGAGCAAACGGGAUUAGAUACCCGAGUAGUC